rnacentral:lncRNA from 1 species
AUGGCAGAGGAGAGGUGGGCCCCGCUCUUCCUCCGGCCGCGGCCACAGAGCUGGGGCCAGGCCCUUUCCCAGCUGGGUCCACAGCUAAAAAUACCUCGGAGGAGAGGAGAGAAGAGAGGAGAGGAGAGGCAGCUCCGCACCGGCCUCCGGCCUCGGUGGCUGCUUUGGGAUGGGUUAAUUAUACGUGUGGAGUGCCUCGGUUUGGGCGCUGCUAAGAAUAGCUGCCCCCCAGCCAGGCACGAGGAACCGGAGGGGGGCUUUCCACACCCCAACUGCCGCUGGGAUUUUCCACGAGCCUGCCCCAAAUCCCCCCGGAGAUGGAGCAUCGACACGGUUUUGGCCAUUGCGCCGUGCCAGGAGCCACCUCCCCAACCUUCCUGGGCAGCGUUGCUCUCCCCGCAUCCAUGCAACCCCACAGCAGGGUCUGAGGGGCCGGGGACCCCCCCAGUUCCCCAUCCCCACAGCACCUACCGCCCGCUCCCGGCAGGACGCCAAGCUGGAAUUGAGCUUCUUGCCCUCCUGGCGUGCUUGGGUGAGCUCCCGGCGCCGCGCAUCCUCUGCCCGUGCGCUCUCGGCCGCGGCGCGCUGCAGCCGGGCACGCUCCUGCUCCAGCUCAGCCAGGCGCAGCUCCAGCACCCGGCUCUCGUUGGCAGCCCGCUCCCGGCAGCCCCGCAGCAUCCCCAGAGCCUCCGAACGCCACAGCAGCACGGCCACCGAGACCGUCACCGCCGCCACCAGCACCAGCAGCCCCACGCUCAGCCCCAGCACCUUCAGCGUGGCUUUGGGCACCGCGGGGUCCAUGCCGGGGAGGGGGGAACGGGGACGCUCGUGGCCGCCUGGGGUGUGCCCGGGUUGCUCCGGGUGCUGCCCGUGGGUUUUUUUUCUGCCCAGCUCCGCUUUGGGCUGUGGUUUCUUGCAGGUCACAGCCCAUCACGGGCUUGGUUUGCGCAGCGCGUGGGAGGGUGCUCGGCCCCGGCCUCGGCCGUGGGUAAAUUCGGCCGGGACAAACCCACGCCGUGCCAGGAGGGGGCUGGCCUGAUGCUGGAGCAACAAAACACGUUGGGUUUUCAUGAGUUUUUAUUGGAAAAUAGCUCAAACCCACCUAACUGCGCAGUAUCUGUGAACCCCUUGCGUAAGAGCAGCCCCGGGGCAGUGCCAGGUCCAUGUUCUCGUGGCUCCGUGCUCAACGCAGCAGCGUCCCCACCAAGAGCAGAGCCAGGAGGACGAGGGGCACGGCCACGCCGGGGAACGUCGCGCUGGUGCCACUCGAAUGCCAGCUCUGUCCGGACCCGAUCCUUGCCAAAGCGUCCCAGAUCUGUGACUGGAGAUCUCUCCUGGGGGGGACAGAGAGAGUCAGGGGACAGCGCACGGGGCUGGGGCCACGGUGGGGGGGAGCAGGGGGGAGCAGGGGGUCUCACCUGUCCUUCUGCGCCUCCUCCAGCUGCUGCCGCUGCUGUUCCAGCUUCUCCUUGAUCUCCCUGUUGUCCUCUAAAGGGGGGGGUGAAAAAGGGUGAGGGUGAGGGAGCAGGGUGACAGGGGUGUCCCAGGGGGCAGGGACCGGGGUGUCCCCGGUGCUCACCUUGCAGCCGCCCCACGUUGGCCUCCUGCUCAUCCCCGUGGUGCUGCAGCUGGGCUAAACGCCGUGUCAGCUCCGAGACGCUGCUCUUCACCGUGUCCUGAGCGCGGGGACAGAAAGGGACAGGGGACACGGCCUCAGGCGCCAGCUCUUUUCCCCCCUCCCUGGGCUGGGAGCAGCACAAAGCAAACCCUGUGCCCGGGGGGGGGUCCCAGUAAGGGACGUCCCCCUCCCCAUUUCCCCAGCACCUACCAGCUCCUUUCUGCAGCUCUCCCACUGCCCCUGCGUCUCGGCGAGGGACCUGUUGGUGACAUCCAGCGCCUGGGCGAGGGACCUGUUGGUGACAGCCAGCACCUCGGCGAGGGACCUGUCGGUGGCGGCCAGCGCCUGCCCCAGCUUGGCCACCUUCACCUGCAGCUCCUCCAGCCCCUCCGAGCCCCCCGGCGGCCCCUGCGCGGAGACGAGGGCUGCGACCAGGGCCACCAAAACCAUCCCGAUGGCCAGCCCCACGCACACCCCCCAGCACUGCUUGUAGAGGAGGCGGCAGCGCAGGCAGCAGUUCUCCAUCCUGCCCCGUGCCGUGCUGCGAAUGCAGCGGCCACCCGAGCGCGCGCGCUGGGAGGGAUCUCCGAGCCCUGGUUUCGUUUCCCCACUAGCGGCACUUUUCAGGAAAUCCUACAAGUUUUGCAAGCGCAGCACAAGCAGAGGGGCACGUGGGGGGGAUGUCGCCUUCGGUAGGGGGUGGGAUGGCAGCAGGGGGUCCAGUGGGGUCGUUCCGGCACCCUCUGCCUGGGGUGGUUUUGGGGGGACCCCUCCCCCGUGCCCCAGUCUUAUGUUUUAGGGUUGUGGGCAGAGGUUUGGGGCUGUGGGGGUGGGGGGAGCCCCGUGCUCCCUGUG